ensembl:snRNA U6 U6 spliceosomal RNA
GUGCUCAUUUCAGCAGCACAUAUACUAAAAUUGGAAUGACACAGAGAAGAUUAGCAUGGUCUCUGCACAAGGAUGACAUGUAAAUUCACAAUGCAUUCCAUAUUUUU